rnacentral:rRNA from 1 species
AGUGAACGCUGGCGGUAGGCCUAACACAUGCAAGUCGAACGGCAGCACAGUAAGAGCUUGCUCUUACGGGUGGCGAGUGGCGGACGUGUGAGGAAUACAUCGGAAUCUACUUUUUCGUGGGGGAUAACGUAGGUAAACUUACGCUAAUACCGCAUACGACCUACGGUUGAAAGCAGGGGAUCUUCGGACCUUGCGCGAUUGAAUGAGCCGAUGUCGGAUUAGCUAGUUGGCGGGGUAAAGGCCCACCAAGGCGACGAUCCGUAGCUGGUCUGAGAGGAUGAUCAGCCACACUGGAACUGAGACACGGUCCAGACUCCUACGGGAGGCAGCAGUGGGGAAUAUUGGACAAUAGGCGCAAGCCUUAUCCAGCCAUACCGCGUGGGUGAAGGAGGCCUUCGGGUUGUAAAGCCCUUUUGUUGGGAAAGAAAAGCAGCAGGUUAAUACCCCGCUGUUCUGACGGUACCCAAAGAAUAAGCACCGGCUAACUUCGUG